rnacentral:rRNA from 1 species
UACGGAGGGGGGCUAGCGUUGUUCGGAAUUACUGGGCGUAAAGCGCACGUAGGCGGCCCCGUCAAGUCAGAGGUGAAAGCCCGGAGCUCAACUCCGGAAUUGCCUUUGAAACUAGCAGGCUUGAACGUCGGAGAGGUGAGUGGAAUUCCGAGUGUAGAGGUGAAAUUCGUAGAUAUUCGGAAGAACACCAGUGGCGAAGGCGGCUCACUGGACGACUGUUGACGCUGAGGUGCGAAAGCGUGGGGAGCAAACGG